GACUACAGCAGAGCAUGGGUUCCUGCUAAGUCCAUCUACCUAUUUAGCAAGACAAGUCCUGUAGAAGUACAUCUAACCAACACAAAAGACUUCAAAAGUUACCAAAAUGCCCUUGUUGAAGUUCAGAGGCAUGUUGGCCUCCUAAUGGAGCGAUUUAGAAAAUUUGUCUAUGCUCCCACCAAAACUGAGUUUAAUCCAGAUAACUACAAGGAACAUCUACAAUCAAUGCUGCCUGAGUAUGAUCCAGUGAAACUGCAAGCUCGAAACACCAUUGUUCCAGCCCUCAAGUUAGCACCAGUGAACAAAAAGAGUGGAGACAAUGAACAGGUAAAGUCCCAAUUUGGUAGAAAGAAGUCUGAAUAGAAAGAAAGUAUAAAGGAUGCCAAGGAUCAAAAUCAAAGUCGUCUCAACUAUUUUAGAUGUAUCAAUGCCGUGAUGCAGUUGAGCGUAUGAAAACAUUCAAAUGUAGUAAAAGUAAUUUUUUUGCAUUUUAAUUGUAAUUGUGUCUUUUUUGGUCUGUAAUUGACUCAUACCAUUAGCCCAUCUAGGUUUACCAAUAUCUUUUUUUUUUUUUUUUUAUUAGUAUUAAGUGACCUUUCACAAGAAAAUGUACACUUUGUUUCUAAAUUUGAAUAAGGUAGAAAAUACAAAUGACCGAGUAGUUAGUAACUUAUCUAAAUAUGUAAGAGUUAAAGCCAACAUCUUUGAGCCAAUAAUAUUGAUAUGAAAAUGAAGUUUGGUUAUGAUAGAUGAAAAGCACUCGUCACGAGAUCUCUUAGGUGGUAAUGAUUUAUCUACUAACUGAAAUAUCAAUUUUCCUAAAAUAACCCACCAUAUGGUUAAAUUUUGAAAUAUAUCGGUCGUAUCCAAAAUGCAUUGUGCCAAAGUUGACGAUCCCUCCUUGAACAUUAUUAUUCUCUCUUAUCUGCAAAUGACCCUAUCUUGAAGUGACAAUCUAGUAAUGGGAAAUUUGGCGAUAAUUUGGACUUCCAAUUU
rnacentral:lncRNA from 1 species